rnacentral:lncRNA from 1 species
UCUUCACUCUAUAUAAUGGAAGAAUGCCUGAACCCAUUGCCCAAGCUCAUCACCAUACUAAUCAGCUUCAAGGGUGGAACAAGUGGCAAAGACCAAGGAGCUUAGCAGCAAGGGAGAGAAAGGAGAAAGUUCCCAGCCCAUAAAUAUUGAACCACUGCAAGCUAGAGAAGGUGUAGGAGAGAGUUCUGAGCAAGAGAGCCAACUGGUGGUGUACAGCGAUCAUAGUUCACCUGAUGAGGAGAUGAGGGCACGGCGUGAUGCAAUGAAAUCACCAUCAGAUCAUUCCUGCAAUCCAUCCUACUCCCUGGGGCCUCCAACCCCACCUCCAAGUCCUUGAGAG